CGGCACUAGGAAAAUACGUAUUAAAGUAUAUACGUUGGAUUAAACGGGGGUUUAGCUGAUCGCGGAUGAUGCACGUUAAAACUGUCUUCGUCCUAAACCUCGAGAAGAUUUACGAGCGCUAGAUUUUAUGCAGACGAAGAACGAACCGCGGCAAGAGGAGUCUAGUUGGUUCUAGUCGAUUCGAAAGCUUUUGAAAAAAGUAACGCGCGUUAGAGAAUUGAAAAUAUGAUCAGACAAAGGAACGCGAAUCUGAUUAUUUCUGAUAGAUCUAACACGAUCAUACAAGAGAAGACAAGAAAGUUUAUACAUAAGCGAGUACGUAACUGUCAGCAACACGCAGAUAUGUCCAAUACAAAGGUUAGCAAUAUGUGCAUAUACACACAAAUAAAUUACUUGGCAACUUUAAACUACAAAGACCAUACAGCAACUCAUGACAGUGAACGAUAAGAAGCCUGCCCCAUGCCUCCUCUGCUCCUAAGCUAAUCAUUUCGCCUGCUAAUCGUUUUUCCAGUUCUGCGCAUACCUCGUCCUUUGCUGCGCUUCAAGUACGCAUCGUCUUCGUAAACGUCCCUGGUCAGGCCAAAAUCCGAGAUCUUGCAGACCUUCUCGGUCGCAAGCAGCACGUUCCUGGCUGCAAGAUCUCUGUGAACCAACUGAACAAUACGGCGAAGCGAUACAGUUAGUGUGGAUUUCAACGAGGUGAGAAAACGGGCUAUCGCCGCGGAUCAAGGGAUUACCUUAAUGUCGGCGAGAUAGGCCAUUCCUUUGCUGAUCUGCCAAGCGAAGGAAAGGAUGUCGCGUGGCGUGACCGUGUACAUGGACCUUCCAUCCGCUUCGCAGGAAACUACGUUGGAUAAAGACGAACAUCCACCGGCUCUAACUUCCGACUCCAAGUGUCGGCUAUGCCUCAAAUAAUUCCUGCAAAGUUCCCGCAUCCUGCGUUACACCUUGUUCAAACUGUGCGGUACUUUUACCGAAUCGAUAAUCACUCCGUAACAAAUCCCGAAAGUAGCGUUCGCACGUUUCUACAUUUUCGCCAUUCAGCUUCCAAAUAUACGAUCAAUGGAUUCAUUAUAGCGUGUAAUAACUAUUAUUGAGUUACGGUUUAUUCAUGCUAGGACGAAUCGUUCAUUUACCGAAUCAAUUCUUUGUCUCGUGUAGUAGUACGUAUGUACAUUUUCACAUGGAUGUACAUGGGAAAGGAGCGUUCAGACGAUCGGUGUUAUUGCCAAUAUUUAAGGUUUUUAAUACUGUAUUGACAAUAUAUAUCGAUCGUCUAGAGUCUAGAGGCUCUCUCGCGUACGAUAAUAUCGAGUACCUUAAAUAUUGACAACUAUAUCGAUGUGAACGCUCCUUGAAAUCACCGAUUCGAUCACGUUCGACAUUCGAUUUCGUUCUGUACAUAUGUACGAAGCGAUUCGGCAAUAAAACCGAAUCUGCUCCGUUUUUUAUCGUAUUUGUAGCAGAGUAAACUUGGUCGUAAGAACGUGGCGCUCUUUGAACCAACGUGAAUUUUGUUUCUGUUGUACAAGUAGUUUUCGAUAGACAUUUUACUUGAAAUUUUAGGACAUACGCUUACAUUCCUUUCCGAAGAAACGUUAUAAAAAAUUUCCUCCAAAAUGAAUAUCGUCUCCGCGCGAAAGGAAAGUUGUUACGUUGAAGGUCUUCGUAAUUUAGAAUACGUACGUGCCGAAGAAAAGUAUAUUAAUUAUUUUACAAAGUACACUGCGCAGAGCUAAAUGUAUCAAUAACGAAGAAGUUAGAAAGCCACUUAUAGUUGAAGAUUAUAACGAUACUAAAAACGCAAUUGAUGUCCCUGAUUAGACGAUGGUUGCGUGUUAUUCGAACAGAGCAUAUAAUGUAUACGUUUUGUUCGCUGUAAUUGAGCGUAACUGGAAUAGACAUAAACUUUAGAGACGACCACUGUCUCUGGGAAAAUUGGCAAAUGCACAAGUAACGCCAUAUACGCAAGAGAGAAAACGUGUUCCGACAACAUUACGUUCGAGAGAAAUUCUUAAACAGAAUCAAAAACAAAGUGACGUGUCUGGAAGCUAUGAAAAAAGGUUGAUGAAACUUUUGCCGAAGAGACAUUGAAACGUCGUUCUUCUGUACACAAUGUAAAAAAUUUAUUUGCAUCUUAUUAUUAAAUGCAAAAAGUAUAAAAGCC